GACUGAGGAUGACAUUCGAACUGCCAUUCAGAAUGCAACUGGUCCUCGAUCUUCACUAUUUGUACCAUAAGUAGAUUCCUGUGUCUUCUAAUUCAAAAUUCUAAUCUAGGACUUUUGUUUGUAUACAGAUGUACAUUGCAGUUUUCCAAAGUGUUGCCUGGGAUUAUUUCAUGUUAAUCUCGCUGCAUAUUGUUAUGAUUUUAAUUCUUAUGUAUAGGUUCCAUUUGAAGUACUCGUUCCAUGGCAAAUAGCAAGUUUGCUAGAUCCAAGUAUUCAAUGUGCAAGGUUCAUAUACAAUGAGUCAAUAAAGAUUAGCCAUCGCUGUACGGUGAAUGAACUGCAGCUGUUUCCUGUUCUGAGAAGGCAUAUGGACCAAGUUAUUGGGAACUUUCUCCAAGAAGGCCUCAAACCAUCUGAGACAAUGAUAGGACAUAUUGUUGAAAUGGAGAUGGAUUACAUAAAUACUUCCCACCCAAAUUUAUUGGUGGGAUCAAGGUUGUAGAACUUGCCAAUCAGCAGAUAAAGAAUUCCGGGGUUUCUUUACCUAUUCGACCAAAGGAUGAUUCAGAGCCUGACAAGGUACCUAAUUCUGAAAGAACUAUCGAAUCUCGGGCCUUUCUUGCAAGACAAGUUAAUGGAAUUGUGAAUGAUCAGGCAUGAAAAUUUGUGUUUCUGCUGCCAGACAUAUUCCUUUCUUCCUU